UGGUGGGAAAAGCUCUGCAGCAGUUCCAGUCACAGCUGGCUGGGCACCUGGCUUGGUGAGCUGGCUGAGGAAAAAAAAAACCCCACCUGUCUCAACCAACUUUUCCAGAUUUCUCAGAGCUGAGUAAUGACUGCCAGAAAUCAAAACCCAAAUGGUGAAAGCAUGGAGGGCUCCAAUCCUGUGGUGAUGCUCUGCACAGCACCUCUGCGUUUCUGAGUCCUGCUCACUCUGAGAGUGUGACCAAGCUCAGGAGAGAAAAUUAGCCAAGGGAAGGAAUCUUUUAUCUGUCUUAAUUAGGCAUUAAUGAAACCUGUCACUGACUCUCCCCUGCAGUUACCAGCCAGCCAAUGGGACACAGUAUUCCAGUGCAUCAUCUGCUGUGACGGUGUUCACAGGGGUCCCAGGAUGAAGGAAGAGAUGAGGAUCUGACUCCAUGUUUCAGAAGGCUUGAUUUAUUAUUUUACCAUAUAUAUUACAUUAAAACUAUACUAAAAGAAUUUCAUCAGAAAUACUAAAAGGAUUUCAUCAGAAAGCCAGCUAAGAAUAGCAAAGAAUGAUAACAAAGGUUUGUGGCUCGGGCUCUCUGUCCGAGCCAGCUGGGCUGUGAUUGACCAUUAACCAGAAACAUCCAACAUGGGCCAAUCACAGAUGCACCUGUUGCAUUCCACAGCAGCAGAUAAUCAAUGUUUACAUUUUGUUCCUGAGGCCUGUCAGCUUCUCAGGAGGAAAAAUCCUAAGGAAAGGAUUUUCAUGAAAAGAUGUC